GACGUAGGGCGCGAGCGUUUGUCCGGAUUUAUUGGGCGUAAAGAGCUCGUAGGCGGCUUGUUGCGUCGACCGUGAAAACCCGGGGCUCAACUUCGGGCUUGCGGUCGAUACGGGCGGGCUAGAGUUCGGUAGGGGAGACUGGAAUUCCUGGUGUAGCGGUGAAAUGCGCAGAUAUCAGGAGGAACACCGGUGGCGAAGGCGGGUCUCUGGGCCGAUACUGACGCUGAGGAGCGAAAGCGUGGGGAGCGAACAGG
rnacentral:rRNA from 1 species